UUUGUCCUACGGGAGGCAGCAGUGGGGGAUAUUGCACAAUGGGGGAAACCCUGAUGCAGCGACGCCGCGUGUAGGAAGACGGUCUUCUGGAUUGUAAACUACUGUCCCCAGGGACGAAGAUGACGGUACCUGGGGAGGAAGCUCCGGCUAACUACGUGCCAGCAGCCGCGGUAAUACGUAGGGGGCAAGCGUUAUCCGGAUUUACUGGGUGUAAAGGGGGCGCAGACGGCGAUGCAAGCCAGGAGUGAAAGCCCGGGGCCCAACCCCGGGACUGCUCUUGGAACUGCGUGGCUGGAGUGCAGGCG
rnacentral:rRNA from 1 species